UGAAAACCAGCCCAUCCCUGACCUGAGCUCUGUGAGCUGAUUCCACCAGUGACUGAGCACAGACCACCACCAUGGAGCUGGGGCUGCGCUGGGUUCUCCUUGUUGCUCUGUUGAAAGGUGUGCAGUGUGAGGUGCGGCUGGUGGAGUCUGGGGGAGACUUGGUGCAGCCUGGGGGAUCCCUGAGACUCUCCUGUGCAGCCUCCGGAUUCACCUUCAGUGGUUACUACAUGGACUGGGUCCGCCAGGCUCCAGGGAAGGGGCUGGAGUGGAUUUCAUACAUCUAUGAUAGUAGUAGCACAUACUACGCAGACUCUGUGAAAGGUCGCUUCACCACCUCCAGAGACAACAGCAAGAACACACUUUACCUGCAGAUGAACAGCCUGAGAGUGGAGGACACGGCCGUCUAUUACUGUACUAGACACACCUGGGGGAUUCCCGGAGACUCUCCUGUGCAGCCUCUGGAUUCACAUUGA